rnacentral:rRNA from 1 species
GACGAACGCUGGCGGCGUGCUUAACACAUGCAAGUCGAACGAAGUGGCGAACGGGUGAGUAACGCGUAAUCAACCUGCCCUUCAGCGGGGGACAACAGUUGGAAACGACUGCUAAUACCGCAUACUGAAGGAGGGGCUUGCGUCUGAUUAGCUAGUGGGAGGGGUAACGGACCACCAAGGCUAUGAUCAGUAGGCGGCCUGAGAGGAUGAACGGCCACAUUGGGACUGAGACACGGCCCAGACUCCUACGUGAGGCAGCAGUGGGGAAGCUUCCGCAAUUGACGAAAGUCUGACGGAGCAACGCCGCGUGAGUGAUGACGGCCUUCGGGUUGUAAAGCUCUGUUAAUCGGGACGCGGUACCGGAAUAGAAAGCCACGGCUAACUACGUGCCAGCAGCCGCGGUAAUUC